AUAAGCGGAGGAAAAGAAACCAACCGGGAUUGCCUCAGUAACGGCGAGUGAAGCGGCAAGAGCUCAAAUUUGAAAUCUGGCCCCCUCGGGGUCCGAGUUGUAAUUUGCAGAGGAUGCUUCGGGUGCGGCCCCCGUCUAAGUGCCCUGGAACGGGCCGUCAUAGAGGGUGAGAAUCCCGUCUGGGACGGGGUGUCCGCGUCCGUGUGAAGCUCCUUCGACGAGUCGAGUUGUUUGGGAAUGCAGCUCUAAAUGGGUGGUAAAUUUCAUCUAAAGCUAAAUACUGGCCGGAGACCGAUAGCGCACAAGUAGAGUGAUCGAAAGAUGAAAAGCACUUUGAAAAGAGAGUUAAAAAGCACGUGAAAUUGUUGAAAGGGAAGCGCUUGCGACCAGACUCGCCCGCGGGGUUCAGCCGGCAUUCGUGCCGGUGUACUUCCCCGCGGGCGGGCCAGCGUCGGUUUGGGCGGCCGGUCAAAGGCCUCCGGAAUGUAGUGCCCCUACGGGGGCACCUUAUAGCCGGGGGUGCAAUGCGGCCAGCCUGGACCGAGGAACGCGCUUCGGCACGGACGCUGGCAUAAUGGUUGCAAACGACCCGUCUUGAAAC
rnacentral:rRNA from 1 species